ensembl:miRNA
AUUAGGUUGGUGCAAAAGUAAUCACAGUUUUGCCAUCACUUUUAAUGGCAAAAACUGCAAUUACUUUUGCACCAACCUAAUAG